GUAAAAACUCCCAAGCCUUUUCUCUGUAGCUAGCUCCUUCGCGAGUCUCUCCUUGCAGAGCCCGCUUUGCUUCUUUUCCAUCUCUCUUAUCUUUUUUCUUUGUAUUUCUCUCUCACUGUGUUUUUUUUCCUUCUUUUCCUUUAUCUGCUUUCGAUUCGGUUUCGAUUCUCAGAUUUGUCGAUCGAACGGCUCGUCUCUCUCCUUCCAUGACUAUGAUGACUCCACCACCGUUAGAUCAAGAAGACGAGGAGAUGCUUGUGCCGCAUUCAGAUUUGGUUGAAGGUCCACAGCCUAUGGAAGUUGUUACACAAGUGGAGCCGGCUAGUACCGUGGAGAAUCAACCAGUGGAGGAUCCUCCAUCCAUGAAAUUCACAUGGACAAUUGAGAAUUUCUCUAGGUUGAACACUAAGAAGCACUAUUCUGAAGUAUUCGUUGUUGGCGGUUACAAAUGGCGAAUACUAAGUUUUCCCAAGGGAAACAAUGUGGACCACUUGUCUAUGUAUUUGGAUGUAGCAGAUUCUGCCACAUUGCCAUAUGGAUGGAGUAGAUACGCACAAUUCAGCUUGGCUGUAGUCAAUCAAAUUCAUAGCAAGUAUUCGAUUAAAAAAGAUACACAGCAUCAAUUCAAUGCAAGAGAGAGUGACUGGGGUUUCACAUCAUUUAUGCCUCUCAGUGAUCUUUAUGAUCCCAGUAGAGGAUAUCUUGUGAAUGAUAUGGUUGUUGUGGAAGCUGAAGUUGUUGUUCGUAAGGUUCUGGAUUAUUGGUCAUAUGACUCAAAGAAGGAGACUGGCUAUGUAGGACUGAAGAACCAAGGAGCAACAUGUUAUAUGAACUCUCUCCUGCAGACUCUCUAUCACAUUCCUUACUUUAGAAAGGCUGUGUACCACAUGCCAACAACUGAGAAUGACAUGCCUACAGGAAGCAUUCCUUUGGCUUUACAGAGUUUAUUCUAUAAGCUGCAAUAUAAUGACACCAGUGUUGCAACAAAGGAACUGACCAAAUCUUUUGGAUGGGAUACGUAUGAUUCCUUCAUGCAGCAUGACGUACAAGAACUCAAUAGGGUACUGAGUGAGAAGCUAGAAGAUAAGAUGAAGGGGACUGUUGUGGAGGGGACAAUACAGAAGUUAUUUGAGGGCCACCAUAUGAAUUAUAUCGAGUGCAUCAAUGUGGAUUACAAAUCUACAAGAAAAGAGUCAUUUUACGAUCUCCAGCUUGAUGUGAAAGGUUGUCGGGAUAUUUAUGCUUCUUUUGACAAGUAUGUAGAAGUUGAACGACUGGAGGGUGAUAACAAAUACCAUGCUGAAGAACAUGGUCUGCAGGAUGCUAAGAAGGGUGUCUUGUUUAUUGACUUCCCCCCUGUUCUUCAACUCCAACUGAAGAGGUUUGAGUAUGAUUUUAUGCGAGACACUAUGGUGAAGAUUAAUGACCGCUAUGAGUUUCCUCUUCAACUUGACCUUGAUAGAGAGAAUGGAAAAUAUCUAUCGCCAGAAGCGGACAGGAGUGUUCGUAACCUUUACACACUUCACAGCGUCUUGGUUCAUAGUGGAGGAGUGCAUGGUGGACAUUAUUAUGCUUUU
rnacentral:misc_RNA from 1 species